GCAAUGUGGCUGGGGUGAAAAUCUGAAUCAUAGUCAACAGGGCAGCCAAAUUCCUAUCUGGAAAUCGGGGCAGUCUGAAGGGCGAGGCCGCACUGUAAACAGAAUGAGUAAGGAGGUCAGAAGCUGGUGGGGACCAGAAUCAUGUCUAGAUGCAGCUUGAGGAAACGGAAACGGUACAGGACUGAGGCUGUGAAUUGAAUGAUAAGAAGGGCCUCCCCCACCCCCAGAAGAGAGGAAAUUCCACAGCUCUGAUGUGAUGAGAAACGUGAUCUGCGCGCCCAGCCCUCCCGCCGGCCUCCCUCCCCGCCGGCUCCCAACCUGGGCGUCCCGGCCCCUCUCCCGAGCCUCCCGCCCCCUCCCCACCCCCUGCCCCUCUCCCUCUGCGUUUUACACUGUGUAACCCGAUAGGCUGGAAAUGUCGCUUCUUUCAUCUUCCAUUUCCCACAUCCUGAAAGUUUGGAGAGGAGAAGCCCACCCAGAUAAAGGAAUUCCAAGUAUGUGAGCCCCCCUCCUCCUUGAACUCCAUUCACAAAGCAGAUUACUAAUGGCUCCGGGCUCCGGGGAGGCCCCCCGCCCCCCCUCCCCCUCCCCACCUCUCAAAGAGUUGACUCAUUCCACGUCCUCACUCCUCACCCGCACAAAAGCCCAAGUCCACAUGCUCAGCACCCCAAAUUAACUUUUCCCUGGGUUCUGCUCCUUAAGCUUUCAAACCUCACCCAGAUCGGGACUGAGCCAUGAGCAGAGUCUGACUCCCAUUCAUCUGGCUCCUCUUAAGCGCCUCCAAACAGAAAGUGCUCAGGGAAAAAUGUGUCAAUGGAUCAGGGAGAAAAGAUACAAAUGAAACAAGGGACGCUUCAAAGCUAAGAGCUGAGGUCUUUGGGAAAGAUCAGAGUGUUCUAACCCCGAGUCGCUGGCUUUCCAACAGAUAUUGUAUUAAACCCAGAAUAAGAGGUGCUUUAUUUGAGGUGAUGGGCAGAGAAUAGAGGCUCUGGUAAAGGUUUUUACUUUUAUUAUUAUUAUUAUUAUUAUUAUUAUUAUUAUUAUUAUUAUUGUUAUUAUGUGUUGCUGGGGCUGGAACCCAGCCAGUGCUCUAACCACUGAGCAGCAUCCUCACUCCCUCUCCCCAUCCCACCCCCAUUGCUGGGAAUUGAACCAGGGAUACAUUACCAAUGAGCUACAUCCCCAGAACUUCUUAUUUUUUAAAUUUUGAGACAGAGUCUCACUAAAUUGCAGAGGCUGCCUCCUCAAUGUCUGGGAUCACAGACGUUUGUCACCACACCCGGCUUGGUAAUGUUUUUUAAAAAUUGUCUUAGUGAUUACAAAAUAUGCCAACAGGUCAGUUCUUGGGUUCUCUGUCCUGAGUUCUGUCACUGACCAGGGACACAGAGGGCAGAGACACCUUCUCUGACUUCACCCUCAGAGGUUAGGAAGUAAUCGCUGAGCAUCCUUUUCCAUGAAGGAUGAUUAGCUAUCUUAUCCAUCCUUCCAGGAGGGUGAGAAAGCCAUUUUGAACCUGUGCCAGCUCUGGGAAAAUUCCCUGAGUUCACCAGCUCUGUGUGAAACAGGAUUUCCUGCAUCAAGAAGUGCUCCCUUGCCUGUUAUUAGGGAAUGUGUUUCAGAGAUGACUAAUCCAUAUUAUUUUUGCAAUUCAGGAUUGUUAGCUACUUUGCUCAAUGUACUAGUGUUUGACCAAAAACAGGAUAAAGUCUGGGUACAUGUUAGUGCACAGGGUCAUGCAUUUAAUGGGGCUCAUUAUUGCCCAAGAAGCCUCCUGGAAUUCCAAGAAGAAUUCAAGAGGCCAGAGUUGGAAAAUGCAGAAAAACAAUGAUAGGAUGACAGACUGUGGCAGAACAGCCACACCGUGCGGCUCCCCAGAGCAUCCAUAUGCUGCUGGGGAGAAAUCAGUGCUGCAGCUCAGCUCCGAACUUCCUAUGUUCAGGUAAAUGCAGCCUGCACCUGCCGUCCAGCAGGUCACAGGCUUCUCUGAAGUCAGUGAUACAACCAGUACCCGCAAAGGCAAGUACUAAUCUCUCAGGACCUCAGCCUCCUUAUCUCUAAAACACUGGGGUUAAUUUAACCCUUGCUAAUCAAAGCACAGCCCCCACAUACCAGCAGUAAGGCUUGACUUGUUAGUUUGGGAUUUAACUAGAAAUACCCCCUAACCUGCUGCUGUUUUGUACAUAGCAUUGAACUCAAGGAUACUUAACCACUGAACAACAUCCCUAGCCCUAUUUUUUAUUUUUUUUAUUUUUUAUUUUUUGGUAUGGGGAUUGAACUCAGAGGCGAUCAACCACUGAGCCACAUCCCCAGCCCUAUUUUGCAUUUUAUUUACAGACAGAUCUCUGAGUUGCUUUGGGCCUCAAUAAGUUGGUGAAACUGGUUUUGAACUUGCAAUCCACCUGUCUCAGCCACCCAAGUCACUAAGAUUACAGGCAUGUGCCACCACACCCAGCAGGCCCUGGGUUUGAUUUCUAGCACCACAAGAAAAUAAAGUAAAAUAAAAAUAGACAAAAUAGUAAUAAUAAACAAACAUGUUCCAACAUCAGCUUUGAUAAUUAGCAACUCAGCGCUAACUUUGUUUCACUUGGAAUAUUUAUCUGAGGUUCCUUUUACAGUUAGGGAAACUAAGAUAUUUAAAUACAUCUUACCAAGUAAAAACGUUAUGGAAAAGCUUCCAGAAGUCCUGGUUUAUACUCCCUUUCUUCUGAUCAUCUUAACAUAAAGAGAUUUUUGUGGCAGUAAUAUCAGCAGCUUGGGAGAGUGAGGCAAGAGGAUCACAAGUUCAAAGUCAGCCUCAGCAAUUUAGCAAGGCCAUAAGCAAUUUAGCAAGACCCUGUCUCAAAAAAAAAAAAACAAAAAGGCUGGAGAUGUGGCCCAGUGGUUGAGUGCCUCUGGGUUCAAUCCCUGCACUCCCCUAAAAAAAGGCAGGAGUGUGGUGGUGCAUACCUGUAACCCCAGGUACUUGGAAGGUGGAGUCAGGAUUGCUUGUUGAAGGCCAGCCUUGGCCAUUUAGAGACAGCUUGUUAAAUAAGAAUAUCAAUGGUCAUUUUUAUUCAAACUCAAAACCAGGUCAGGAGGCUAAGCAGUAAGUAGAGCACCAGCAAGGCCUAUUUCGAAUGUAGAAGACCUUGAGGAUCACCUGCAGGAACCCCUCCAGCCAUCUCCUUUGUCCCAACAGUGGAAAACAGAGGUGGAGGUGAACUCAGAUGGAAUUAUAGGAAGGAAGGUGAGGGUGAGCCCAGAUGAGAGUUAUGGGAGGCCACAGCCUCCAAACUUUUUCCAGGCCUAUUUUACAUACAUUUUGCUCCGUGCUUUACGCAGAACCAUAUAUAAACUCCUAAACUGUCGCACCAAAAUGUUUUCUUUUUUCUGCUAUGAGGCCCCCUCCCACAUGGGGGUUUCUUACCUCUUCUCGAUUUAAUAAAUAUUACUCUGUUUAUUCUUCCCUCCCAUGACGGUCCAUGGAUUUUAUUCAAAAUUUGUGAGACAAGAACCUGGAGGAAACUGGGAAACAGGGAAUCUAUUCUCAUCUCAUAACUCUGGUUUCAUUGUCUCCAAACAGUAAAUAAAAAAAGAGAGGCUGGGGGUAUAGCUCUGUUUUAAAGCACCACUGGCUUCAAUCCCAGCCCCUUACCCCCUCAGAAAAAGACACUGGGAGCAGUGGUGCACGCCUAUGAAUGAUCCCAGCAACUCGGAAGGCUGAGACAGGAGGAUGUAAAUUCAAAGCCAGCCUCCUCCGCAAUUUAGCAGGGCCUUACCAAUUUAGCAAGACCCUGCCUCUAAAUAAAUAUCUGGGGAUGUGGCUCAGUUAAGUGCCCCUGGGUUCAAUUCCCAGUACCAAAAAAGAAAAAGAGGAGGUUUUGUGCCCAGUGUGUUGUAAGAGAGAAGGUAGGAAAACACCUCAGGGCAAUGAGGAUACGUCUUCUGGCCUUUGCUUUACUCUUUAACCUAGUAAUAAAUCUCUUAAAGCUC